rnacentral:rRNA from 1 species
GACGAACGCUGGCGGCGUGCUUAACACAUGCAAGUCGAACGGACAGGCCCUGCUUUUGUUGGUUGCUCGAGUGGCGCACGCGUGUGUAACACGCGAGUAUCCUGUCCUUGACUUUGGGAUAACUUCAGGAAACUCGGGCUAAUACCGCAUAGGAGCUCUUGCUGCAUGUUGUUCGAUGGAAAGUUUCGGCGGUUCGGGCUGGGCUCGCGGCUUAUCAGCUUGUUUGUCUGGUAGUGGCUUACCAAGGCUUUGACGGGUAGCCGGCCUGAGAGGGGUACCGGCGACAUGGGGACUGAGAUACGGCCCAGACGCCUACGGGAGGCAGCAGGGGGGAAUAUUGCAGAAUGGGCGGAAGCGUGAUGCAGAAACGCCGCGUGCGGGAUAACGGGCUUCGGGUUGUAAACCACUUUGGCAUGUGACGAAGAGGGAGUGACGGUAAUGGGUAAAGAAGCAACGGCUAACUACGUG